GUGGCACAUUAGAAUUUGUGGCUGGAAAUCUAAAGUCGGAGCUCCGCCAAACUCUAGCCAAUCAAUCAACCAUUCCUCGUCUUUUUCUAAUUUAUCUCUUGGAAAAAUGUUAGGGAUGAAAUUAUCCAAUUACGAGUUGUGGCAUGGAAUUUCUAUGUACAUAUGGUUGCUUAAUGGAGUAGUUGAAGGAGUUGAUGGUACCUGCAACUCUCCAACAACAUGACCAUGGCUGCAACCUCUGCCACCACAACCGCCGCGGUCCUCAGUAAUACCAAUGCCCACCACCACCAGAAAUGGAUGAGAUGUUCGGAUGUGGGAAUGGUUUCCCUCCCGAACUCCAAUUGGGAGCCAUUUGCUACUCGAUGGCGCCCUCACACCCGCUCUCCCUUGCUUGUCCCUAGGGCUGCUUCCGCCGAGACCGCUGGCAAGGACAAUAAGCGGAAGAAGAAGAAACGCCCCGACGAAGAAGAAGAUGAUGAUGGUGGAAAGGACAAACAAGAACAAGAACAAGAACAAGAACAGCAACUGCAGCAGGCUUCUGUUUCUAUGAUAAGCUUAGACGACGUGAAUCCGGUUGGUUUAGGACGGAAAUCGCGCCAGAUAUUCGAUGAGGUGUGGCGGAAGUUCUCUGGAUUGGGGCAGAUAUCGAGGACCACUCGCACCGAUGAGGAGACUCUGCUCAUAAGGGAGGGUGGUCCCAUGUGUGAGUUCGCCAUCCCUGGUGCUCAGAACACCACUGUCCUUGUCGUUGGUGCCACCAGCCGUAUCGGCCGCAUCGUUGUCCGCAAGCUCAUGCUCAGAGGUUACACUGUCAAGGCUUUAGUGAGGAAGGCGGAUCAAGAAGUGGUGGACAUGCUUCCAAGGUCAGUAGAGAUCGCGAUCGGGGAUGUAGGUGAUCCGGACGCUGUCAAGGCUGCUGUUGAAGGUUGCAACAAAAUAAUAUAUUGUGCCACUGCCCGCUCUGCCAUCACCGGGGAUCUCAACAGAGUUGAUUAUCAAGGAGUUUACAAUGCCACCAAAGCAUUUCAGGACUACAACAAUAAACUAGCACAGCUCCGGGCAGGAAAAAGUAGCAAAAGCAAGCUGCUGCUUGCAAAGUUCAAAUCAGUAGAUUCAUUGAAUGGGUGGGAAAUUCGACAAGGAACCUACUUCCAGGAUGUGAUUGCUGCUAAGUAUGAUGGAGGAAUGGAUGCUAAAUUUGAAUUCAUGGAGACUGGAGAUGCUGUUUUCUCAGGGUAUGUUUUCACCAGAGGAGGGUACGUGGAGCUGUCAAAAAAGCUUUCACUUCCUCUUGGGCGCACUCUUGACAGAUAUGAAGGUCUAGUUCUAUCUGUUGGUGGGAAUGGAAGAUCUUAUAUUUUAAUUCUUGAAGCUGGUCCAUCAGCAGAUACAACGCAAAGCAAAAUGUAUUUUGCAAGGAUUAGCACAAAAGUGGGAUUUUGUAGGGUCAGAGUACCAUUUUCUUCCUUCCGCCCUGUGAAACCAGAUGAUCCACCAUUAGAUCCAUUCCUUGUACAUACUUUGACUAUACGCUUUGAACCAAGAAGACAGAGACCUAUUGACGGACCCACAGGAACACAGCAAGACCUGAGAAGCUUUAAACUUAUAAUGGAAUACAUAAAAGCCUUGCCUACUGGGCAAGAAACGGACUUCAUCUUAGUUUCAUGUACAGGAUUAGGGAUAGAACCUACUAGAAGGGAGCAAGUUCUGAAAGCCAAAAAGGCUGGGGAGGAUUCAUUGAGAAGAUCAGGCCUUGGAUACACAAUCAUUCGCCCUGGUCCCCUAAAGGAAACCAGCUGAACAAGCACUAUGUGCUGGCAUAUAUAGGAGGUGCAUGUGCAAAAGCAUCCAUCUUCUCCACUGUGUAUCAACUAUAAAACCCAUUUGUAAUGUGUAUGUACCAUAAGUCAGUGCUAAUAAUCUGUUUUUCCAUACAAACAAUGGUGCUUCUUUUUCCUCUAGUGAAUUGUAUGCAUUUCGUCGAUUUAUUUUCUAUUGUGGGGCUUUUUGUUCAUAUCAUAGCUGGGCAUUAGCAAACAGCCACCAAUUAUCUGGAGCAUUUCGACCAUCAAAAGUGAUUAGGUACCCCGAUUUCAUGGUGGGAUUAGAGUGGCCAUAACUUCUGAUGUAAAAGAAGCUAUAUCAAUCUUCAUUUGCCAUAUGCACUAAAAGUGCCUUAAACCAAUUCAUUGUUCAAUGAUGCCAUUUGAAUGUUCUAGGAUAGGCAAUUUACAGUAGAAGUUGCGAAUUUUGCUGAUCGAAAGAAAGUUUUUGGUUUCUUCAAGUUUAGUUGUUGUUCUGCUUCUGAACUGAUUUCUAGUACUAUCUUAUAGCAGCUUAAGUGAUUCUAUGGAUUUUGAUUGAUAUGGUUUUUGAAAGAGUUUUAUUUUCUAUUUUUCCUUGUGGAUUCAAAGAAUGAGCUUGGGAUUGAAGAAAGUGAUCUUCCUUCCUUUUCUUGCUUGCUGCUACAUUAGAAAUGGGCCAGGCAAGUAUACUUUUGCUAAUGGUAGUGCAGGAUGCUGUGAAACUGUUUAGGGAAAGGGGAAAACAUGUACAUCUUGUAAAACCCAUGUCAUAUAGGGGCUUGCAGGCUAAGUUAUUUCAUGCUCCAUAAGGAUUCAUGCUAGGGUAAUUCAUGAUACAUAUAUUGGAAAAGGACUGCAGAAAUGUAUCAAUUAAAGUCAACAGAGAAAACAGUCAUGAGUCUGAAUACAAGUUUGCCUUCUCCUGUCAAUGGAAGAACCUGGUGGGCAACGUGCUCUCAUAUUUGAUCAAGGAAA